UACAGAGGGUGCAAGCGUUAAUCGGAAUUACUGGGCGUAAAGCGCACGUAGGUGGAUUAGAAAGUUGGGUGUGAAAGCCCUGGGCUCAACCUGGGAACUGCAUUCAAUACUACUAGUCUAGAGUACAGGAGAGGGAAGUGGAAUUUCCGGUGUAGUGGUGAAAUACGUAGAUAUCGGAAGGAACACCAAUGGCGAAGGCAACUUCCUGGACUGAUACUGACACUGAGGUGCGAAAGCGUGGGGAGCAAACAGG
rnacentral:rRNA from 1 species